rnacentral:miRNA from 1 species
UAGAUUUUUCUUUGAUCUUAA